GGGUCGUUAGCUCAGCUGGCAGAGCACCGGCCUUUUAAGCCGGGGGUCGCAGGUUCGAGCCCUGCACGACCCA
rnacentral:tRNA from 1 species